rnacentral:rRNA from 1 species
GACGAACGCUGGCGGCGUGCUUAACACAUGCAAGUCGAACGGAAAGGCCCUGCUUUUGUGGGGUGCUCGAGUGGCGAACGGGUGAGUAACACGUGAGUAACCUGCCCUUGACUUUGGGAUAACUUCAGGAAACUGGGGCUAAUACCGGAUAGGAGCUCCUGCUGCAUGGUGGGGGUUGGAAAGUUUCGGCGGUUGGGGAUGGACUCGCGGCUUAUCAGCUUGUUGGUGGGGUAGUGGCUUACCAAGGCUUUGACGGGUAGCCGGCCUGAGAGGGUUACCGGCCACAUGGGGACUGAGAUACGGCCCAGAAUCCAACGGGAGGCAGCAGGGGGGAAUAUUGCACAAUGGGCGGAAGCCUGAUGCAGAAACGCCGCGUGCGGGAUGACGGCCUUCGGGUUGUAAACCGAUUUGGCAUGUGACGAAGCGUGAGUGACGGUAAUGGGUAAAGAAGCACCGGCUAACUACGUG